AACGAACGCUGGCGGCAUGCCUAACACAUGCAAGUCGAACGAAGCCUUCGGGCUUAGUGGCGCACGGGUGCGUAACGCGUGGGAAUCUGCCCUUGGGUUCGGAAUAACAGUUAGAAAUGACUGCUAAUACCGGAUGAUGUCUUCGGACCAAAGAUUUAUCGCCCAAGGAUGAGACCGCGUAGGAUUAGGUAGUUGGUGGGGUAAUGGCCCACCAAGCCGACGAUCCUUAGCUGGUCUGAGAGGAUGAGCAGCCACACUGGGACUGAGACACGGCCCAGACUCCUACGGGAGGCAGCAGUGGGGAAUAUUGGACAAUGGGCGAAAGCCUGAUCCAGCAAUGCCGCGUGAGUGAUGAAGGCCUUAGGGUUGUAAAGCUCUUUUACCAGGGAUGAUAAUGACAGUACCUGGAGAAUAAGCUCCGGCUAACUCCGUGCCAGCCGCCGCAGUAA
rnacentral:rRNA from 1 species